rnacentral:rRNA from 1 species
GAUGAACGCUGGCGGCGUGCCUAAUACAUGCAAGUCGAGCGGACGGACGAGAAGCUUGCUUCUCUGAUGUUAGCGGCGGACGGGUGAGUAACACGUGGAUAACCUACCUAUAAGACUGGGAUAACUUCGGGAAACCGUAGAUAAUACCGGAUAAUAUUUUGAAACGCAUGGUUCAACAGUGAAAGACGGACUUGCUGUCACUUAUAGAUGGAUCCGAGCUGCAUUAGCUAGUUGGUAAGGUAACGGCCUACCAAGGCAACGAUGCAUAGCCGACCUGAGAGGGUGAUCGGCCACACUGGAACUGAGACACGGUCCAGACUCCUACGGGAGGCAGCAGUAGGGAAUCUUCCGCAAUGGGCGAAAGCCUGACGGAGCCACGCCGCGUGAGUGAUGAAGGUCUUCGGAUCGUAAAGCUCUGUUAGUAGGGAAGAACAUAUGUGUAAGUAACUGUGCACAUCUUGACGGUACCUAAUCAGAAAGCCCCGGCUAACUACGUG